rnacentral:misc_RNA from 1 species
AAUCCGAACAGGGAAAAUAUUCUCGGAAAUAUCCAUUCAGUCCCCAGGUCUCGGCUGGGGAACAUCAAAAUUUUGAGGUGAUUUUUUUUAGUAAGCUAAAGUUAUAUCAAGCAAACAAAAUAAAACAAAAAAACUUUCCGCACUCUUACUGCAGGAUAUAGCCGUAAAUCCAUAUCCACAUCCACAGGUAGCUGCUGCUGGAGCUUUGCUGGUUACACACAAUUGUUAAACAUUCAUUUCAAAUCCCUCUGGAACUGGAACUGGAAUCGGGUUAUUGCAUCCUGGCUAAUAGCACUCAAUAAAUACACUAAAUAGAAGCAGCCAUUAUCUGGAAAAAAAGGCUCUGCUCUUGAUGGUACUGACAUUCGUCGCUUUGGAGGUGGGCUCGAAUGUUCGUAGUCGGGUUAUUGCAUCCUGGCUAAUAGCACUCAAUAAAUACACUAAAUAGAAGCAGCCAUUAUCUGGAAAAAAAGGCUCUGCUCUUGAUGGUACUGACAUUCGUCGCUUUGGAGGUGGGCUCGAAUGUUCGUAAUCGGGUUAUUGCAUCCUGGCUAAUAGCACUCAAUAAAUACACUAAAUAGAAGCAGCCAUUAUCUGGAAAAAAAGGCUCUGCUCUUGAUGGUACUGACAUUCGCCGCUUUGGAGGUGGGCUCGAAUGUUCGUGGAUCGCAUCAAUACGAUUAUUAAUGGAAUUUAAAGGCUUUUAUGGUUAAUAGUUAAAA